CCUACGGGAGGCAGCAGUAAGGAAUAUUGGACAAUGGACGCAAGUCUGAUCCAGCCAUGCCGCGUGAAGGAUUAAGGCCCUCUGGGUUGUAAACUUCUUUUAUAGGGGACGAAAAAAGGGCUUUCUAGCUCGACUGACGGUACCCUAUGAAUAAGCACCGGCUAACUCCGUGCCAGCAGCCGCGGUAAUACGGAGGGUGCAAGCGUUAUCCGGAUUCACUGGGUUUAAAGGGUGCGUAGGCGGGCAGUUAAGUCAGUGGUGAAAUCUUCGAGCUCAACUCGGAAACUGCCAUUGAUACUAUCUGUCUUGAAUAUUGUGGAGGUGAGCGGAAUAUGUCAUGUAGCGGUGAAAUGCUUAGAUAUGACAUAGAACACCGAUUGCGAAGGCAGCUCGCUACGCAAAUAUUGACGCUGAGGCACGAAAGCGUGGGGAUCAAACAGGAUUAGAUACCCUGGUAGUCCACGCCCUAAACUAUGGAUACUCGACAUUUGCGAUACACAGUAAGUGUCUGAGNGAAGACAUAAGUACCCGACCGCGGAGACGACCGCGAGUAGUAAACGUUAAAGUAAAGUUAGACGACGUGAGACGAGACCGACGGACGACGACGAGGGGAGGAGG
rnacentral:rRNA from 1 species